AACAUACAUCACCUUCUGUCUGCUGUGAUACAUUUACAUCUACAGGAAUAGAAAACUGGUUUCCAGCUUGGCUCCGCGCGCAGCAGAAGUCGUUUCAUGGCCGGAGGGGGAGAGAGGGAGAGAUGACAGAUGUUUUGGGUGGAGAGCAGUGGAAUGUCCGACUCGAGGGGUGAUCAUCUCUCCUCCCCCUCCCCGCGUUCUCCUCUCUCCACGUCUUGCACGUCUGUUCUCUUUUUCUUUUCUUUUUUUGUGGUCCCCACAUGAUGAAGCGGUUCAGUGUCCAAGGUGGUCCAUCCAUUCGGCCGUGCUUUGAGACAGGGUCAUUAACAGCAGCAAAUUCCAUCUGCAGAGAAGCGAGAGUUGUUAGCUGUCUGGGGAAAGAACAAAAAAAGGACGAGUCCGAGGAGGCGUCGUAGUCGCGGCACGGCAGAGUCAUUUCGGGACAAAAAUGAAACACACGGGGGAAUUGCAAAGAAAGAAAAUGCCACAAGGGAACGAGUAAACAACCAGAGCUGACGGUUUGUGGAUUCCAUUAAAAGAAAUGCCGCCGCCACAGCUGGCGAAGCUUUGUGCGGCAACAUUAGCACUGAUGACAACGGUGACAACGAUGACGACGAUGACGACGAUGAUGAUGGGACCAUCUGUUUUUCUAAAUAACAGUGGCGAUGUGACGUGUGUUAGAGGACAUAGUAACGCGGCAAACAGGGUUCAGGAGAAAUGCUUACUGUAGUGUAGUGUUGUGUAGCAGUCAUGUGACCUUAUGACCUGAACACAUACCCAAACCCCACCGCCCGUCGCCUCGGGGGUAAAGAAAGUGUCUUGAGUUUGCUGCUCGCAGCUUUUCGGUAUCACAUGCAAAGACAGGACCUGUUUGUGUCCCGUCUCUUCAGACUUUGGGAAACCUCACUGUUGAAAAUAUUCCUGCAAAAUGUUUAUCUACACAUACAUCAUACAUUUGUACAGCUACAGGAACUUUUUUUUUCUAUGCAUGCACAAAAAGGUGAUGUGCAACUACUACAUUAUGUCACAAGCAGGAAAUGUUAGCGACCCUGAUUUGAUGUAUUACGUGCAGAAGUGCGUUCAUGACCGUGUCUGGAAGAUACCGCCAAGACGGAUUUAGCACCGGACUGAGAGGUGGUGUUUUACGGAGAUGCUCCAGCGAGGACUCACAGUGGAAAGAUUUCAAAAAGAAUAGUCCUUGUCGAUGCAGCAAACUCUAAUAACACUGAAUUCUAGUAAUGUAACAUUCUUAAACACAAGAAUCGACUCAAAUGCAGGGAUCACGGCAUUCAUCCUACACAUCACAUCCAUGAAGGAAACUCGAACAGCUGCAAAGCUCGACUUACUGGUGCAAAGACAAUCUGGCAACUGGGAGGCGGAGAGACGAGACCAUGCCACAUGAGGCUGAUCACCCGAUGAGACAGAAAACUAGUGGGAGAAAAAGGCAAAUAUGGUACGUGAUUCCAAAAUAAAACUGGAAAUAAGUCCAAGCAGGUGGACAGAGGUAAAGUAUGCUCUUCAAUACAGUAUUUUAAAAUCAACGCAUUCUGAAGCUGGUCGCUCACAUGCUUGGUGUGUGAAAGACAGUUGGCUGUCAUACUAAAUAUAAAACGUAUAAAAUGAAGGGUCGAUUAUUUGAGUGUACCUUGCACUGCAAUGCACGUUGGGAAGAUAACAUUUUGCAAGUCGAGCGCACAACGGCCCGGAUUUUGGCUAAAUCGUCAAUUCCUCAAAGCAGGUUUCCCAGCAGAUUUUUAUAGAUGGUCGAAAUUGAGGCGGCGUGACUCCCACUUUCUAUCUGCAACAUGAAACAAAAUGGCCAAAAUGUUAACCUGCGAAGAAAAGGGUCAUCACAAGACACUCUCGUUACAUCCCGACAGAAGGGAAAGUAGACGUGUCGAAGGAGAGAAAAGAAGGAUCAUUAUGAGGAGACGAGAGGAAACUCACUUGCUCA